rnacentral:rRNA from 1 species
CAGCAGCCGCGGGAAUACGGAGGGGGCUAGCGUUGUUCGGAAUUACUGGGCGUAAAGCGUGCGUAGGCGGUUUUGUAAGUUAGAGGUGAAAGCCCAGGGCUCAACCCUGGAAUUGCCUUUAAGACUGCAUCGCUUGAACGUCGGAGAGGUGAGUGGAAUUCCGAGUGUAGAGGUGAAAUUCGUAGAUAUUCGGAAGAACACCAGUGGCGAAGGCGACUCACUGGACGACUGUUGACGCUGAGGCACGAAAGCGUGGGGAGCAAACAGGAUUAGAUACCCCUGUAGUCCCUGUCUCUUAUAC